UGAUAUUCAUAGAUGUUUUAUGCAAUAUUUGAAUACUCUUGCAAGUUUUUUUUACGCUUCCUUUCAAGUUUUUGUGAGGAGUAAAUAAGGAAUCAAGCAUGGCAUCUAUUUUUGACUGUAAAGUAAAUGAUGAACCUAUUUCAUGAUAUUGAGGAGAAACAAAGCAUGUUCUCUUUUUCAUUUCUUUGUUGUCUUGAACUUAGUUGGUGAUACAGCUUGCAAGUGGAUGUGCUUCUCCAUUUGUUUGUUUACCCUGGACUCAAAAGAUUGUGUUAUUCCCAACCUUGUGUGGAUGUGGAUUUUAUCGUUCCUUCAUGCUCAUCGUACGUGAAUACCUUAUGGUUUCUCGUGCUAUCAGUUGUUUUAGGCCCACAUUUCUAUUUUAACUUUAUCAAUGUGAAACAGUGGGGAGAUAUUCAUUACUUUGGAUAAUAGUGUAAAUAAUUAAAAGAGGUGCUAUGUAAAAACAAUAAAAAAAGUUAUGGGGAUUGCUGGACACUUCUGUUGGUAACAUCGAUGUUGAUCUAAAAAUCAUCUUCCAUUAAAAAAUAUGAGGGAUGCUCUUGGCAUCGUGAAUGGACGCUUACGAAAAACAUUUUGAUUUUUUGUUAUCCUUUGAGGCAAAGUCCCAAUACUCGGUACCUAAACUUUAGCUGGUAUCUGAUGGUUGGUACUACUUUGGUUGAUUUUGCGUAUUCAAAAGAAAUUUGCCCAAGUUCAAAUUGUCCAGUCUAUUAUCCUCGUGGCUCUUUGGAGUUGUUUGGAAAUGAAAUAUUUGUCAAGUUUAUUUUGAAAGUAAAAUUAAUCGGGUCCACUGCUAUUUUAUCCUGACGGUUGACUUCAGAAGCUAGAUGAAGUUUUUCCUUCAUGAAAUUAUUUUUUUAGAUGAGUGAAAAAGAAAAAUGUGAUGUUCAUGCAAAUUCAUAACUUACAUUAUACUGUCAAAACCUCUUCUCCACUAUUCUUCUGGCGUGUGGUAGGAUCCCCAUCUCCCUCCAACUUAUGUUCUGUUAUCAUGUCUUCAUCACCAUAUGUGCAAAUUUUUAGCUUCUAACUAUUUCAUGUCCUCUGCUCAACUAUUCUUCUCCCCAUGUACAUCAAAUCUGUUUUUUCAACUUAUGUCAUACCUCUAAUCACGGUUGUAGUUUUUUGGGUGCUCUACUUAAUGCCCAUUCUCUACUCUUUGCCUCAGAGAUAAGGAGAUUGUGAUAGCUACAGCUGAAGAGGUACGAAGAGCUGCACAAAAACUUGAGCAACAAGGACAUGCUGAUUUCUAGAUCUGACAUCCUACUUAAGUAGCCGAGCAAGUGGUGUUGCAAGGGAAUCGGUGAUCAGGACUUUGCUAUGGUCUGCGGCUGCGUGCCUGAGAAAAGGCCAUGGCUCUGGUUAUUGUAUUAUUUUUGUUUUGUUAGCGUGCUAAUUGGCUUGAAAAGGACACAUCCCAUUUUUAUGACAUAAUCUCAUAUUCCUUUAGAUUCAAAAAUUAUAUCUAUGUUGUUUUAAAACUUAUGUAUGUAGCUCCCCUGUGCUUAUUAUAUGAUGCUACCUCUUUCUGUACAAUAAUCAUAAUUUGGUGGUGGAGCUUAUACAAAAGCAUAAAAGCUGAAAAAAUGGUGUGAAAUUAUACUAAA